GUAAAUGUUUCUUCUCCAAUUGGAUGAUGAUAAGACUGUGACACGGGAUGCCACCUUUAGUCUUGUGAUGAAGCAAAGCUCAGGAAGAAGUGUGAUUAAAUGGUACCCACAUGUGUGCUGCUGAGAAGGAUGUACAGGGGCACCUGCAGCCAAAUCCAAGCCUCCUCAGCAGCUUCAGGUCUGUCAGCGUGCUGAGGUCACAGAAACAAGAAAAGCAGCUUCAGACUUCAGAGUGUUGUUUACAGUUUUCUGUCAUCAUGAUCUCCCCUGAAGUUUAUCACUAUUAUACAAGCAAGCAGAGCAGCAGUUUGUGCUCACAGAUGGUGACGGUGUGGAGAGACGGUGGUGUUUCCUCAGAAGAACUAGCAGAGUCACAAAGGACAUGAGUCCAUCUCACCACCUUGACUUGUUGAUCAGUGGAUACACUUGUCUCCCCUUUAAAGGAGACACUCUUAGAGAGAGACGAUCCGAGUCAUCCUUAAAUAUGGGCAGGAUAUCACUAUUGGACUGUCUAACCUGCCGGAGCAGCACUGAAUGACCACCACACAUGAUCAGUUCCUGCAACAUUCAGCAGCUCUGCUUUUGUGUCAAAUGUCCAACAGCUGGAGAGGAAACCCUGAGACCAUGAACGCCACUUCGCUGAAGUCUUCUUCUUCUUCUUCUCCUUCUUCUUCUUCUUGCCAUCAGAAUGGAAGCAGACAGAGCACGAGCUGCUUUGAUCUACUGAAAGGAAAAAGCAGAACAUCUGAGCUGAAACCAUUAAGAUAGAAACAAUCGUUCAAUGCAGUCUCUCACGUAGCUUAGCCUGUUACAACUGUUGAUACAAGCUCAGUACAGUUAACACAGUGUCGGGGAACUCCAGUGUGGGAACUAGUGGCUUUAGGUUUGGACAGCGAUGGAGAGCAGGUGUGCCGAGAAUGGCCUAGCCCGGAGGGCGUGGCUAUCCGCACAUUCCACAGACACGGACCACGGACCAUGACAGAUAGACUGCAGGUCAUAACUUCUUACCUGAAGUUCAGUUCACCUGACGCUCC